rnacentral:ncRNA from 1 species
UUAAAGUUUGAUCUUUGCUUUUUUCUCUAUUAUAAGGAUGACUUUACAUGAAAGUUCAAGCUAGAGAUUUAUUAUUGAUAGAGUCAUAUUUAUAAAUUCUCAGUAUAUAUUUUUAGGGUUUAAGUUAAUACUUGAGCUAGUAAUUCUUUAGAUUUCAGGCUAAAUUUGUGCCAGCAGCCGCGGUUAGACUGAGAGAGAGGAUAGAGAAGAGAAGUAUGUAGUUAUAAUAGGAGGUUUAUAUAAUUAGGGGUAUGAGUUUAAGGAGUGAAAUCCAUAUUUUUAUAGUGUCCUGUUUUGUUUAUAUUAAAUUUAUUUUAAAACUAUUAAGAUUCAGGUUUAAACCAGGAUUAGAUACCCUGUUAUACUGAAGGUAAAAUAUAAUACGCUUGAGUAGUAAUAAGUUAUAAGCUCGAAACUUAAAAGAUUUGGCGGUAUUUAAGUCUAGUUAGAGGAACCUGCUUUAUAAACGAUAUGCCACGAAUUAUCUUACUUUAUUUUGUAUUCAAUUUGUAUACCUCCAUUUUUAAAUAAUACUHHSUUGAAGUAUUUUUUUAAAUAGAAAAAUUUCUAGUUUAUUAGGUCAAGGUGCAGUUUAUAGUAAAGUAAAUGUGGGUUACACUAUAUUAUAUUAUUUAUGGAUAAAUAUAUGUAAUUUAUAUUUUGAAAUUGGAUUUAAUAGUAUUUUUGAAUUAAUAAGUCAGGAUGAUAGUAGCUCUUUAAUAUGUACACAUCGCCCGUCGCUCUCAUUAUAAAGUGAGAUAAGUCGUAACAUAGUGGUUGUAUUGGAAAAUGCAUCUGGAAAGA